rnacentral:rRNA from 1 species
CCCCGAUGACCGGGACAACCCGAGGAAACUCGAGCUAAUACCGGAUGUGCCCUGCGAUCGCAAGGUCGGUGGGGAAAGGAAGCUUCGGCCUCCGCAUCGGGAUGGGCCCGCGGCCCAUUAGCUUGUUGGUGAGGUAACGGCUCACCAAGGCGACGAUGGGUAGCUGGUCUGAGAGGACGAUCAGCCACACUGGGACUGCGACACGGCCCAGACUCCUACGGGAGGCAGCAGUGGGGAAUCUUGCGCAAUGCGCGAAAGCGUGACGCAGCAACGCCGCGUGGGGGAAGACGGCCUUCGGGUUGUAAACCCCUUUCAGUUGGGACGAAGCUCCGUCGGUGAAUAGCCGAUUGGAGUGACGGUACCUUCAGAAGAAGCCCCGGCU